rnacentral:rRNA from 1 species
AAUCGGGCCUGGAUCUAGCUGGUUCUUUCCGAAAUGCGUUGAGGCGCAGCCGGCGACAAUGAUCUGUCUAGGGGUAAAGCACUGUUUCGGUGCGGGCUUCGAAAGAGGUACCAAAUCGUCGCAAACUAAGAAUACUAGGCAUGACUUCUGUCGCCGAGUGGGACUGUGGGGGAUAAGCUUCAUAGUCGAGAGGGAAAGAGCCCAGAUCACCAGCUAAGGCCCCUAAAUGAUAGCUAAGUGUAAAAGGAGGUGAGGAUGCAGAAACAACCAGGAGGUUCGCUUAGAAGCAGCUACCCUUUAAAGAGUGCGUAAUAGCUCACUGGUGGAGCGUCCUCGCGCCGAAAAUGCAUAGGGACUUAAGCUAUCUGCCGACGCUGUGGGAUAGUCAAUCGUGACUAUCGGUAGGAGAGCGUUCUGCAUGUGGGUGAAGCUUUCUCGUAAGGGUGAGUGGACACUGCAGAAGUGAGAAUGUCGGCUUGAGUAACGAAAACAUUGGUGAGAAUCCAAUGCCCCGAAACCCUAAGGGUUCCUUCACUAGGCUCGUCCUUGGAGGGUGAGUCGGGUCUUAAGGCGAGGCCGAAAGGCGUAGUCGAUAGCAAACAGGUUAAUAUUCCUGUACUUUAUAUAUCGGGAUACCGAGGGACGAUGGAGGCCCAACAUAUCUCGAAGAUUGGUAUUUUGAGGGAUGGCACGAGUCGUUGAGAUUGCGAAGAAAAACGUAUUUCGAGAUAAGUGCUAUCUAGUGAAAAGGUUUACUUUUUCAUGUAUAUGAUGACGUCAUACUUCCAAGAAAAGCUCGAACUAUCGAUGCGAUAUAUAAACCCGUACCCGAAACCGACACAGGUGGGGUAGUAGAGCAUACUAAGGGGCGCGAGAUAACUCUCUCUAAGGAACUCGGCAAAAUAAUUCCGUAACUUCGGGAGAAGGAAUGCCUCUGAUAAAGAGGUCGCAGAGAAUAGGCCCAGGCGACUGUUUACCAAAAACACAGGUCUCCGCAAAGUCGUAAGACGAUCUAUGGGGGCUGACGCCUGCCCGGUGCCGGACGGUGAAGGAAGUUGGUUAUUCGCAAGGAGAAGCUGACGACCGAAGCCCCGGUGAACGGCGGCCGUAACUAUAACGGUCCUAAGGUAGCGAAAUUCAUUGUCGGGUAAGUUCCGACCCGCACGAAAGGCGUAACGAUCUGGGCGCUGUCUCGGAGAGAGACCCGGCGAAAUAGACAUAUCCGUGAAGAUGCGGAUUACUUACACUGGGACAGAAAGACCCUAUGAAGCUUUACUGUAGCUUGGAAUUGAAAUCGGGCUCGUUUUGCGCAGCCUAGGUGGGAGGCGUUGAAGAUCUUUCUCCGGGAAGAUUGGAGCCAUCAUUGAGAGACCACUCUUAACGAGCUAGAUUUCUAAUUGUGCUCCUUGAAUCAGGACACAAGACAGUUUCUGGUGGGCAGUUUUAUUGGGGCAAUAGCCUCCUAAAAGGUAACGGAGGCGCGCAAAGGUUCCCUCAGGCUAGACGGAAAUUAGCCGCAGAGCGUAAAGGCAGAAGGGAGCUUGACUGCAAGACCGACACGUCGAGCAGGAGCGAAAGCUGGCCUUAGUGAUCCGACGGUACUGCGUGGAAAGGCCGUCGCUCAACGGAUAAAAGUUACUCUAGGGAUAACAGGCUGAUCACUCCCAAGAGUUCACAUCGACGGAGUGGUUUGGCACCUCGAUGUCGGCUCAUCGCAACCUGGAGCUGAAGCAGGUUCCAAGGGUUGGGCUGUUCGCCCAUGAAAGCGGUACGUGAGCUGGGUUCAGAACGUCGCAAGACAGUUUGGUCCAUAUCUAGUGUGAGCGUUAGAGCAUUGAGAGGAGCCUUCCAUAGUACGAGAGGACCUGGAAGGACACACCACUAGUAUGCCAGUUCUCGUGCCAACGGGAAACGCUGGGUAGCUAUGUGUGGAACGGAUAAUUGCUGAAAGCAUCUAAGUAAGAAGCCUACCUCAAGAUGAGUGCUCUCCUGAGGCCACGGCAAGACUAGCCGUUUGAUAGACGUUAAGUGUAAGGCGAGCAAUCGUUUGAGCUGAGACGCACUAACAGGCCGACUGAGUUUGAUCU